rnacentral:rRNA from 1 species
UACGUAGGGUGCGAGCGUUAAUCGGAAUUACUGGGCGUAAAGCGUGCGCAGGCGGCGCGUUAAGACAGGUGUGAAAGCCCCGAGCUUAACUUGGGAAUUGCGCUUGUGACUGGCGUGCUGGAGUGUGGCAGAGGGAGGUGGAAUUCCACGUGUAGCAGUGAAAUGCGUAGAGAUGUGGAGGAACACCAGUGGCGAAGGCGGCUUUCUGGUCUGUAACUGACGCUGAGGCGCGAAAGCGUGGGGAGCAAACAGG